UGAGGUGGUGUAGAAGAAAUGCAUGCUAAUAUUGUAACAACUUAAAAAGUGGCUACAAAAUUAUUCUAUGCUGCCUUAGCUGGCUCAGGACUCAAUUGGUAUGCUGCUUUGUUGUGAUGCUCUGUAAAUUAUGAUGGAUGCUGUAGAAAUAUAAUAAUCUGAUUAAAAUUGGUGGUGGUUUGAGGGGUAUGUAAGCCCAUACUAUAAUAUGCUUUGUUUUCUAGAUUAUGAUAGGAGAACUAGUUAUUUCAAAUUAGGCUCACUUAUGCAGCCACUCACCAAUUUAAACACAAAUUCUAGGAGAUUAAUCUAAAACUAACUAUUCA
rnacentral:misc_RNA from 1 species